rnacentral:rRNA from 1 species
UGACCUCAAAUCAGGUGGGACUACCCGCUGAACUUAAGCAUAUCAAUAAGCGGAGGAAAAGAAACUAACAAGGAUUCCCCUAGUAACUGCGAGUGAAGCGGGAAAAGCUCAAAUUUAAAAUCUGGUGGUUUCGGCCAUCCGAGUUGUAAUCUGGAGAAGUGUUUUCCGCGUUGGACCGUGCACAAGUUUCCUGGAACGGAGCGUCAUAGAGGGUGAGAAUCCCGUCUUUGGCACGGAUC